rnacentral:misc_RNA from 1 species
UGUGGCGUCUAACCUUCGUCUGCCAUAAGCAUGGUUCUGCGAAUCUCCUACGUUCUUUUCUCUCUUCUGUUUGUCUCCGCUGUCGUCGCGGAGACCUUGACUUCAUCGGGUCGCGAGGAUCCGUUGAUCAGGCAGGUAGUGGACGGCCAGGAUGAAUCGUCCACGAGCCCUCAUCUUCUCAGCGAGGAGCAUCACUUCUCGCUCUUCAAGAGCAAGUUCAAGAAAUCCUAUACCUCUCAGCAGGAGCAUGACUACCGCUUUAAGGUGUUUAAAGCUAACCUAAGACGCGCUGCCCGUCAUCAGAAGUUGGACCCGACGGCCAGCCACGGUGUCACUCAGUUUUCCGAUUUGACUCCGGCUGAGUUU